rnacentral:lncRNA from 1 species
AGAUUAUAAUAAUUACCUCUGGACUUCUCUCUAUAUUUCCCUUUUAGACUUAGCGCAUUUUACAAUUUCCCUUUAAUAAAAGGUCAUUCUCUCAUCAUCUGGUGAAGUGGCCUGGCACAGGGAAUCUGGAGGCAAGUUCCAGGCAGAGCUUUAUUUUCUUUCUACAUUUGUUUACAUUCCGACCCCAAUUUUAUUUGCAGAAAUUAUUUAUGAAGCUCUUUUAUCCCCUUCUUGCUUGUGAAGCAGCUCUUGGGUCUGUAAGCCAUAGAGUAGUGUUCUCAUCAUGCAUAUAUUUAGCACCCUAAUCUCUGCAACCAGUUUUAGCUGCUUGUUAUACUUUUCUUGACAUUUUCUUGUAUGCUUUUUGACAUCUGCUUGCAAACUUCUGCAGCCUUUUCAAUCCUGAUAUUCACUUGUUUCCUCUGAUGUUGUUAUCAUUCUCCUUAGAUAUGCAGAUGUGUUGCAUUCCUUCAAGUCCUGUCCCCAAGUCUUUCUAACAAGAUUGUUCUGGAUACCCACCCCCAUUUCUUGUUGAUCUGCUUGUUUCUUUGCUUGUUUAUUGUUAAACUGUUUGCUGCCUCAGACCUCUAGCAUUAUACUCUUCCUUGGAGAACUGAACGCCUUCAAUUGGCUUUUUAAUGCGACCCAUUUGAAAACACCUACAUGGACACACACACAAAACCAGGCAACGGAUAAUAGUUCAAAGAAGGCAGUAUUUAAUAUCUUUUUCACAGUUCUGACAGUGUUCUUUGCAAAACUCUGUUGCCCAAGAGCACAAAAACCUUCAUGAAAUGAAUACUUGGGAGAAAUGAUUUUAUAAACUUCAAUAAUGAGCAACCUAAGGUGCUGUCUUAACAUGUGGCAUCAUUUUGUGUCAACAAUCAUCCUUUCUGAUCAUCAGAUUUAAUUUGUUCAUUUGUCUCUAAUAUCAUGUAGAUCUAUGACCUUAUCUGAGUGUUUGGUAAUGAACUCGAGUACAGUGCACUACUUUCUUCUGAUCUCUGAAUAUUUCAAAAGGCAGAAUCUUUUGUGUGUCUGGAAAUGUGCCACACUAGUAAUGCAGUUUAUAUCUUUGGAAGAGAAGCCUGCAGGGAUGCAAGCACACAGCAUUCAUGAUUUCAGCUUUUGACUGACAUCUAUUCACUUCAAGGGUGAUUUUCCUGUUGGCAAGAGGCAGAGGAGACACACCAAGCAUCACCUUCAGGAACAAGCAAUUUAAGUACUAUAAUGAGAUGGGUCUUUUCAGAGUCUAUAAUUGGUGACAAGGUAUGGCAGCUUCAUAUCAGACAAAGAUGUACAACACAGAGCUUAUUAAUGAGGAUGGAGCGUCACACUCAAGGAAGCUUCCUAUGACUAUGAGACAGAAGAGUAUAACAGAUAGUGUAGGUUGUUACUAAGUCCAAUAUCUCCAAUUUGCAUCAUAAAACCUUUAUGUAAGCCAAUUCAAGCUAAUCCAGAAUGGGAUAUUUUUCCCCUUUAGAAUUCACUAGGGUAGCCAGCAAUCCAUCACGUUGGAUCCCAGCCCUCACAGACAACAGCAAUAAUCAUCUAAACUUGCAGAUAUGCU